CUCUUACACCUCUAAAAACUUCACAUUUGUUUUCUUUUUCUUUAGAUAAUAAACAGAACUGCUUCUUUGAGAUGAUACUGAAUGGCCCAUGUACCUCCCUUCACGCCAGCAUAGGCAUAACCAUUUCAAAAAGCAGGAUUUUCACUUGAUCUGCAGCCACUGAUGCCCUACCAGCUUGGAAAAUGUUUUAUUUCCUUGCUUUGGAGUGAAUUAUCAGGCAAUCAUUUGCUUUAUUGAUUCUGCUCAUUAUUGCAGUGGUUGCUUGCCUUAGGUCCCUGGAGGUCAAGGCAAGAAACCAAAUAUGUAUGUGGAUUUCUUUUCUACUGCUUCUGCUUGCUCUAAUUUGACCCUCAACCACCAGAAAGCUACAUAAGAACCAUAUUUAGGAUUUGUAAGGUACUGUCUACUUAGAAGGUGCCAGUUGACACAUGUAUGUUAACCAACUGCCGGUUAUUCCACAUCACGCGAGUAAAGUGGAGAAUAGAUUGAAAGACUGAAGACCCCAGCACACACAAAAGUAGGAAUGAAGAAAGGUCUGAGGAGGUCUAGCUAUCAGGCCCAACUUGACAGUCUUAACUAGGCAUUGCUACUCAAAUAAAUAAGUCAAGUCAUUUUUUGAGUUUGUCGCUUAUAUCAUAUCAUUGAAAUUUCUGAAUUCCAGAGGAGAAGGUCCU
rnacentral:lncRNA from 10 species